rnacentral:tRNA from 1 species
GGGCGAUUAGCUCAGUUGGAUAGAGCGUUGGCCUCCGGAGCCAAAGGCCACAGGUUCGAAUCCUGUAUCGCCCACCA